rnacentral:rRNA from 1 species
AAUAGCUCACUAGUCGAGUCGGCCUGCGCGGAAGAUGUAACGGGGCUCAAACUGGAUACCGAAGCUGCGGCUGCAUACUAUGUAUGCGGGGUAGGGGAGCGUUGUGUAAGUCUGUGAAGGUGUGUUGAGAAGCAUGCUGGAGAUAUCACAAGUGCGAAUGCUGACGUGAGUAACGAUAAUGGGAGUGAAAAACUCCCACGCCGAAAGACCAAGGUUUCCUGCGCAACGCUAAUCGGCGCAGGGUGAGUCGGCCCCUAAGGCGAGGCAGAAAUGCGUAGCUGAUGGGAAACAGGUUAAUAUUCCUGUACUUCUUAUAACUGCGAUGGAGAGACGGAGAAGGCUAUGCCUACCGGGCGUUGGUUGUCCCGGGGAAAGGCUGUAGGCUGAGGUGUUAGGCAAAUCCGGCACCUUAAGGCUGAGAGUCGAGACCACUGGUCCUUUGUGACCGGGAAGUGGUUGAUGCCAUGCUUCCAGGAAAAUCUUCUAAGCUUCAGGUUAUAAGGAACCGUACCCCAAACCGACACAGGUGGUUGGGAUGAGUAUUCUAAGGCGCUUGAGAGAACUCGGGUGAAGGAACUAGGCAAAGUGGUACCGUAACUUCGGGAGAAGGUACGCCGCUGACGGUGAUGAGACUUGCUCUCUGAGCUAUCGGCGGUCGCAGUGAAAAGGCCCCUGCAACUGUUUAUUAAAAACACAGCACUCUGCAAACGCGUAAGCGGACGUAUAGGGUGUGACGCCUGCCCGGUGCCGGAAGGUUAAUUGAUGGGGUUAGCUUCGGCGAAGCUCUUGAUCGAAGCCCCGGUAAACGGCGGCCGUAACUAUAACGGUCCUAAGGUAGCGAAAUUCCUUGUCGGGUAAGUUCCGACCUGCACGAAUGGCGUAAUGAUGGGGGCGCUGUCUCCACCCGAGACUCAGUGAAAUCGAAAUCGCAGUGAAGAUGCUGUGUACCCGCGGCUAGACGGAAAGACCCCGUGAACCUUUACUAUAGCUUCACAGUGGACUUUGACUUUACUUGUGUAGGAUAGCUGGGAGGCUUUGAAGCAGUGGCGCUAGCCAUUGUGGAGCCAACCUUGAAAUACCAGCCUGGUAACGUUGAGGUUCUAACUCAGGCCCAUUAUCUGGGCCGAGGACAUUGUGUGGUGGGUAGUUUGACUGGGGCGGUCUCCUCCCAAAGAGUAACGGAGGAGCACGAAGGUGCGCUAAUCAUGGUCGGAAAUCAUGAGGUUAGUGUAAAGGCACAAGCGCGCUUGACUGCGAGUCUGACAAGACGAGCAGGUACGAAAGUAGGUCUUAGUGAUCCGGUGGUUCUGAAUGGAAGGGCCAUCGCUCAACGGAUAAAAGGUACUCCGGGGAUAACAGG